UUCCCGCUGGAAAAAGUCAAAAGGGUUCCUGGCAUUAAAACGACCUUGCGUCAUUCCUGAUGAAAUUAGCAGUGCUGCAUGUUUAGAGCUUUUCUAUGGAUGCACUUUGGUCACAGUAAGAAGUAAGAGAUUUGGGGUUUAACCCCCCAUCUGUGCAGGAGCUGUCUGCUUUCAUUAGCUGCGAAACCCGAGACUGGCACUCGAAAGUGCCUUAGACCUGCAGUCCAUUUUUUACUUGUCUUUAAGUGCAAGCGAUGGGAAUUGCUAACCUCGGCUGAGAAAAUUUCAUUUCCCCCAUCCUGCUAAACGGUUCUGGUCGACAUAUGUUUGUUAUCAGAGAGAGGUGCUAUGAACACAGAGCCAUUUUCUUAGCAGCUCUUUGACUCUGUGUUACCAUAGUCCCACACGGCAUUGGUCCUUUCCCGUUGGGAAGUCAUGAAUAAGAGACUAUGAAGCUUGCACGUCAGAUCUUCCUCAAUUAAUCCACCAUUAGCAUGUUUGGGAUCCUCUACUGGAUGGUUAACAGCAGCUUUGGUAACUGUAUGCUGUCCAUACCCAAUUAUGCUCUGCUAAAAAUGAACUCUGCAGAACAACCUUCCUGAGCUGUCAGUGUCUCCCGUUUUCCUAUUUUAACGCUUGUGUGUAGUGGCAGGCGACAGAUGGUGUAGAUCAGAUCGAUUUGAUUGCAUUAGGCGAUUUUUUUUUCCUCCUCUCCCCCCCGACUCCUCUUCUGGAAGCCCACAUUCAUCUGAGAGGCGAUCGCCGGGGACAUGGGAAGCAAGAGCAGCCGCCGAUGUGUGAAAGCAACGAGACAUGGCCAGCCAGGGGCGCCGGGGUCCCUUCCCGGGGUUUGUUAACAUGGUAAUCCGGCACCAGGAGAGAAAGCUGCUUUCUGCUGCCCAGAGCCCAUUCCCCAUCACACAUCAGAUGACUCCCUGGUUUUACACACAGUUGGAGUUCUGCUCGAAACCUGGAUUUAAAGGGAAUCUGUUGCCGCGUGUGACAUCCCUUGCGAGCUCCCAGAGAGAAUUGAUGGAGCGUACAGCUAGGGAAUAGGAUGCCAGAGAAGCACAGAGGAAGAAAGCAGGCAAUCGCCAGGAUGGGAAGGUUCAGCGUCCAUUGGAUAUGGGACGAGAUCACUCGGCACCCCUUGUGGAUUCUCCUUCUUCUAGAGGGGAAUUAUAGUUAUGGAUUUAUUGUCCCGGUGCAGCACUUCCAGCAGCAGCAGCCGCAGCAACAGCAGCAGCUUUCUGACUCUCUUCGGUGACGGGUAUUCUUGGGUGGAUAAUACGGAUUACGUUGUUAUUGCUUAAGAAUACGCGUAGUCGAGGAGAGUACCGGCGGCGGGCAGGCAGGCAGGCAGGCAGCGCGACCGCCCCCAGCCCACCAGCUGGCUCCUAACCUCCUCUAGUUGCCAAGCCGUCCAGCUUAAGUCUCCUGAACUAGCCCGUCUUCCUUCCUCGCAAUGCCAAAUGACCCAUGGAAAGCUGUAGAUCUUCAGUCUGUGGGGACAAUCUAACAUCGGCAAAUUCUGGGGUUGCUGCUACAAGGUAGGGCUACAUCUAACUCCUUCAAACUGUCCCAUCAGCUCAGGUGUCCUGCUCACAUGAAAAGUUCAUGACUCCCACUGCAGAGACCUACUUGUCAGCUUCUUGGAAAACCCUCCUGCCUGCAUGGCAGCCCCCCGGAGACAACUGGACCUUCCACCAGCCAGACAUACAAAUCACCCGCUAACUAGUUUUGGCUGAGGUUGUUGGAUGAAAUCUUCAUAGAUAGAGCCAAGAGGACAGGCAAGAAAUAUUUCUCUUCUUCAUGCCACAACUUGUUUUCUCAUUAUUUCUUCUUGUCUCCUUUUUACACUCCAGGCAUUUUUUUCUUUCCACAUAAGCUAAUAGGAAGAAAUACUGUGCCCUACUCCAGUCAUUUAAUUUAAGUAAUUUGUUUUAAUUCUUAUUACGAGCAUUCAAAUAGCAAGUGAAAUUUAUUGAUAUAUGUUACACUUCUGAAACACUAGAAAAAAUUGUCUGGCCCAUUCUUUGCUAAUGCUGGCUUAGAUGACGUUUCAGGAACAGGAGCCACCCUGCAAAGGGCUGGGCAUGUGCAGAGGACAGGAGCUGUCAGUGAAGCGCAUGGCCACGAAUCUGGUUUUGAUCUGUCCGUGUGAUUUUCCAGGUGAGCCUCGGACCCUGCCUACGCUCUGUGCUCCCAGACGUUGGCCCCACGACGGCAAACGGAGUGACGUCCGAGUCCCGCUUCCCCCGGCCGCGGCACUGGGUGUUCGCUGCUCCCGGAGCUGCCCGCAUGCUGCGGGACACCCAGCUGCCCGACACCUGACCCAGCUCGGCCACUGGUGGGGACGCUGCUGGGGCCGGCUUCUCCCUGCUUGUUGCUGCCUGCCUGCCUUAUUCUUCUGAGUUAUGCCCCAGCCCACGCCCAUCCUGUUGUGCCACUGCCUCCGGGCUGUGUUGAGUUUUCAAUUAUCACAAUAUACAAUGCAGAUGAUAUGUAAAACAGCUCAUGUGACUCGAGCAGGCUGAGCUCAGUAGAAAUACAGUUAAAUAAAAAGUACUGCUAUAAUACCAGGAGGCUGAUUGGAACCACAAGAUACUGGUGUCAUAUCCUGCGGCUUUUAUGUUGGUAGAUGUAGAUUUUAGACAUUAGAGCCUAGCUAUCCGACAGAUAACAACCAGAGGAAAUGGAUCUGGGUAUCUUCAGUUGUGAAUAACUGAUGCACUUUUGCCAAUAAAUGGAGGACCUGGUAAACUGCCAGAAGAAAAAAUCUUUUCAGAUACCUACAAAUACAAUCAGGCAUGUAGUAUGUGGUAGCAUCUAACUACGUGUAACUUAAAGAAACUCCCCGAUUGCUCACAAUACAUUUAAAAUGGUACGUGAAGAGAGCUCUGACCUCAGAGAACCAAUGUGGUUACAUUGUCAAUUCCAAAUUCAGACAAGGAAAUAAAUAGCGAGUGUAGGUCUCAUGUAUCUGUACAAGCAGUAACAAACCCCCAGGUCAGGUAUCAUGAUAUCUAGGUGGGGUAAAACGCUAUGACGAAAGAGGGAGAAAUAAGCAAAAAAUACAAUAAUGUAAAAUGUGCCUGUUACUAACUUCUGGAAAAGCUCAACAGCUAGAACUUUAGAAUGUGGUAUGUAGGCAAAUGUAAAGAGAGCAACACAAUAAGUGUGUUUUUGUCCAGAGCAAAAUGAAAUAGGCAUACAGAGCAAAUUAUAAUAUUUAGUACUUUCAGGGCAAAUUCUAGUUGAGGAUCAUGAAGUAAUUUGAAAAUAUUAAUAAAUUAGCCUCACAGCUAGCUUUCAGGUAGGUAAUAAUGAUAAUUAUUACUAUAAAUAAAUAUUAUUAUUAUUAUUAUCAUUCUUGCUCCAAAGAAAUGAAAAUUGAGGCAUAGAGUAUUUAUGUAUUUGUCCAAAGUCUGUGUUUUACUACUGUAACCAUCCUUCUCUAGAACUAUUAUAUAUCAAAGUUUAUCUUUUUCCAAAUACUGUGUGCAAUACACUAUUCAGCUUAUGAGCUCUAAAAACCAACCAGCUGAGCUUCCUUACGAAACAGUGCCUGUGAACAUCUCCAUUUGCAUUUGAAUUCUCAAGCGACAAUCCUGCUUAAAAAAAUAUAAAUAAAAAAGGAAUCAUGAAAAUCAGUACAAAAUCUGUCAAGGCCCCAUCUGUGACUGGGUAUCAGAAUAUCGCUAAGAAGCUCUGAGGAACAAAGUUCAUUCCAAGUCUAACACAUAGUGCUUUUUGCUCGAUGAAAUUAAUUCAAGCAGGGUGAAAUGAGGGCACAUACCAUGAAAAUCUCUGUUCCUCCACUGAGGAGUGAAGGAAAGCAGCAUCUCUGCUGUGUGUGUGGUCUUGGUUUUGGUACAUGUAGUUGUGCUUAAAUACUAAAGGUUUUACACCGCAAAAUACUCAGUGUGCUCACAUCUCCUUUUCAUGGCCAUGUAUACCUGCUGCUUCUCUGAGGAGUGUCAGGGAAUGAGUAAUCUCUGGUCCUGACAAGAUGAGGACUUAGAUUAUGUAUGCUUGUUGCAAAAAGCAAGCUUUCAUAGCUAGCUACCUGAAGUAGUAUGGAAACAAAAUGAUAGACUCCACCCUGGCCUUGAAAAUACCCCUACAAACAUGUUUAUUUCCUUCUGAAUGGGAAUUUAUAAAGGGUAGGGGCACUUAUUUGUAGGCUAUUUAUAUAUCUCCUCUUCAGGAUCUGAAUUCCUAAAAGUCUUGGCCAUGGCUUUUUGCUCUCACACAUGCAAUAUUUGAAAUUAACUAUGGAAAUAGGAGAACCACAGCAUUAACACCAUUCUAAUGCACUGUAUUAUUUUUCUUUCCCUUUUUUUUAACCAUUAGAGUAUGCAAAUGUUCAGUUAACUGGUCCUCAUGUUUCCUCUUUAUUGAAUUGCUUUCACUAUGGCAAAUAAAUAUUCAUAAAGAAAUGUGGACAAUAAAUCAUUUCAAAUAGUUCAAAGCCAUUUUCUUUCUAGACUGCAUAUAUAUUCAGCUGUGACUCGCCUUUAAUAUUUCAUUCAAAAGAGAGACUUGUAGAAGGACAAUAGAGAUAAUGUGUCAAGCAGUAAUUAAAACAGGGGCUAAUGAUUAAAACCAUUUUGAUCUACACUGUGCUCUGUCAAAUUCAUAAUCUCCUGUGUUUGUUAAGAUGACUUUCUACUUGCUUUAUACAGAAACUCAAAAUAAACUUCUGUUUGAAGACA